UAUAAAUAAAACUUGAAUACCAACUGGAAACUUUGAUGUCAAUUAAUUUAAAUCAUUUAAAUACAAUUCAUCUAAAUACACAAUAAUUAAUAUAAAAAGAAAAAUAUUCUAAUUAUGACUUAAAUGUAUUACUAAUUAAUGUUUGAUAUAAUAGCUUCAACUUCCACUAUCUUAACAAAUCGAGAAGAGGUUGAAGAUUCUCAACUGGAAAAUUGUCAUCAUACACUGCUAUGUUUAGAGGAAUGUUAUUUGAUUGCAGAUGGAAUAAAAUAUUUAAGUAAGUUAAAAAUUAAAAAAAAGAAAUGUAUGAAAUAAAACAUGCAUUUAUGUCAAUUAUAAUGUUGUUAUCUACUAUAUUAUUGUUAGGCAUUGUGUUAAGAAGUAAUUUUGUUUUCUUGUGUAGUGAAAUCUAUAAUUUCCAUACCCUUUACUGUAUUCUACCACACCUUAUAUAUACAUAUAAGCAACCUUUAAACAAUUUUAGGCUAUUAAUUAUAAAAUAUGAAGAAAUGAUGGUGAAAUAUUUUUUAAUGCUAAAAUUCUAUAAAUACACAUCAUAUUUAAGACAUAAGUAUUUACAAUUUAUAGAUAUAAACUGAUGUGAUACACUGCACGUAAAAACCGAAAUUUAGGAAAAAAAUUCCUUUAAGCGAAUCAUCAAUAUUCCUGAUGUGGUUUUUGUGAUACAGGUGGAACACUAAAUUCAUUGAUACUGUAUAUAAUACAAUUACAAUUAAGUUAACAAUACAGUUAAUUACUGUUGGUUUAUUGUCAAUUGCCAAAGAUUCAAAAUGCAAAUGAAAUGCUAAAAUUUGAAUUUGUUCAGAUAAUAUAAAAAUAUUGGAAUAAUCAUUUACAACUUAUUUUUUAAAAUUUCAAAUAAACACAUUUUAUCAACAAAUUUCAU